AUACGGAGGGGGCUAGCGUUGUUCGGAUUUACUGGGCGUAAAGCGUGCGCAGGUGGUUUUGUAAGUCAGAUGUGAAAUCCCCGGGCUCAACCUGGGAAUGGCGCUUGUGACUGCAAGGCUAGAGUGCGUCAGAGGGGGGUAGAAUUCCACGUGUAGCAGUGAAAUGCGUAGAGAUGUAGAGGAAUACCGAUGGCGAAGGCAGCCCCCUGGGACGAGACUGACGCUCAUGCACGAAAGCGUGGGGAGCAAACAGGAUUAGAAACCCCAGUAGUCC
rnacentral:rRNA from 1 species